AAGUCGUAACAAGGUUUCCGUAGGUGAACCUGCGGAAGGAUCAUUAACAAUUGUCCAUUUUCCUUUGCAUAUGGAUGGUUUUAAAUCCAUAUCCACCUUUUUGUGCACAUCAUUGACACGUUUGCUUUGGCAGUUUGCGAGGAGAGAUUCCUUUACCCGUUUCUCUUGUGGAGGGGAAUGGAAAGUGAUACCUUUCACCUCCUUUUUCCUUCCGGCGCUGCCAGAGUUUUUCUUAUUUCAUCUUGACAAACUUUUCUUGCUUUUUUCUCGAAGCAAGCCUGAAAACAUCAAAUUUUUGGA
rnacentral:misc_RNA from 1 species